UACGAAGGGGGCUAGCGUUGUUCGGAAUUACUGGGCGUAAAGCGCGCGCAGGCGGUCCUUCAAGUCAGAGGUGAAAGCCCAGAGCUCAACUCUGGAACGGCCUUUGAGACUAGAGGACUUGGGUACGGGAGAGGUGAGUGGAAUUCCGAGUGUAGAGGUGAAAUUCGUAGAUAUUCGCAAGAACACCAGUGGCGAAGGCGGCUCACUGGCCCGAUACUGACGCUGAGGUGCGAAAGCGUGGGGAGCAAACAGG
rnacentral:rRNA from 1 species